rnacentral:lncRNA from 10 species
GGCUGCUCUUCACCUGGGCCAACAAAUAAGGAUGCUUUCCCAGAUCUCUCCGGCAUGGGCUCCCGAGCUGAAGAGCCUGAGGGAUAACCCUCCACCCUCCACCUCCUUGGCUAAACAAUGAUUUUCUCGCACACCUAAGACAGCCAACUGCAGCCACUCUGCCAGGACUAACACUAGAAUCAGAGGAAUGGCUUUUGGUACAGAUGAUGGGCGAUGAGGCAGAGAUUCAGGAGGAUGUUCCAGAUGGCGGGAGAUAAGCAGGCCCACAUACCUCAGCCCCUUCUCCGGCUGCUCAGAGCUCCUUGGGGUGAAAGCGCCCCAGGAACACUUCACCAGGGCCUUCAGGUCAUUCCUUGGAGCUUCAGCCCAACCGGCCUCUCAAAACCCCAAGAAGAAACAUCUGGAUAUCUAGAAGAGUCUCCAAAAGUAUCUCCAGUGUGUUCCUAACUGGGGCUGGGAACAGAGACCACAGGGCCCUGCUGGAACCGCAGUGAGAGCCCACACCUGCUGAGCACGAAGUGAGAGUCAGGAGCUAUGCCGAGGGCUCACAUGCACGAGCCCCACUUGACUACUGCCAUGAACCUGCCCGCCUCGGCCCCCCAAAGUGCUGGGAUUACAGGCGUGAGCCACCAUGCCCGGCUGAGUCCGGAGUUCUUGAAGAGCUCGCAACACCACCCUUGUUUUGACGGGCUGCGUGAUCACAGGACUGCAUCUCUGGAUUUCGAUAACCAUACAUGAAUUGAGCUGAAGGUGUUUUGGUCAAUGGAGACCUCUGUGCCUCCAGAGCUUAUAAAUCAGAGCCCUGUGGUCUAACAGCCAUGAUGUUCCCCAAUCAUGUUACUGCAAUAUUAAUAAGGCUGUUUAAUGCAACCAGUUCCUUCUAAAUUGUCACAUAAAAAUUUGGUAAAUGUCAGACAUAUCAUUUCAUAGAAAAUAAUGUUUUACUGCCAGGGGAGCUAGGUGGCUGAGAAGAUGAGUGCAAAGCCUGGCGACAACCUUUGGCAGGUUUGAGGGACAAAGCGCUGCCAGCCUGGGGCUCCCGCCUUGGCCCUUCUUUCUUGCAGUCAGCAGCCACCCCGAGUCCCCAUGUGCAGGGGCCCUGGGUGAGGAGUCCUGGGGAGGGGAGGGGCUAGAAGAAACAGCCCUUCCUGUCCUCACGCAGCAUACAAUCCUGUUGCAGCAAGAGAGACUACCAGGUUUUCUCAGUCACUGGUCACUCCUCAGGAUGCCCCUUGUCAUAAAAGAUCAUUACCCCCAUUUUAGGAAACCCAGGCAGCCCCCAGGAACAUUGGCCCACACAGGAGAAACUUGACGUUUACAAAGGGAUGAGUUCGGCUGGGAGCAAUGGCUCAUGCCUGUAAUCCCAGCAAUUUGGGAGGCUGAGGCAGGUGGAUCACCUGAGGUUGGGAGUUCGAGACCAGCCUGACCAACAUGGAGAAACCCCGUCUCUACUAAAAAUACAAAAAAUUAGCCAGGCAUGGUGGCGCAUGCCUGUAAUCCCAGCUACUCAGGUGGCUGAGGCAGGAGAAUCGCUUGAACCCAGAAGGCAGAGGUUGCGGUGAGCCAAGAUCACACCAUUGCACGUCAGCCUAGGCAACAAGAGCAAAAACUCCAUCUCACAAAAACGAAAAACAAUAAAACAAAGGGAUAAGUUCACAGAAGCAAAGUAGCAUCCUGUAAACUACUUAUAAAUGGGGUUGGUGUCCUGUAAAAGGGGUUGGUCCC